GCGGGUGUGGUGAAAUUGGUAGACACGCCAGACUUAGGAUCUGGUGCUUCACGGCUUGGGGGUUCGAGUCCCUCCACCCGCA
rnacentral:tRNA from 1 species